UCUUUCUUCUGCUCUGCUUGAAGCCACUAAUGCUUCUCUAUUUACCACCUGUCUUCCGAAAAUUCAUUAAAACUUCUUGUAUGUUGAUGAGGAAACCGAGGUCUGAAGAAGAGAAAUGUCCUGACCCAGCUCACCCAGCUGGGGCCAGUUCUGUUUCACCUAGAAUUGGAUGUUCCAACUCCUGGAGAUUUGUGUGCCAUGAAGAGAUGGAGACACCAGAAAUUCAAGCCAAAGACCUGGGGCCUCCUUGGCUCUUCUCCCCUCCACCUCAAAGGGGACCUGUUUGGGUCCCAAUAAGGAAAGCCCGUCCCUGGAAGGUGCCGCCUCAGGGCACUUUGUAUGAAUGCAUGAGGCAGCAUCCAUGCUGGAAAAACACACAGAAUCAUCCAGACUCACCAGUUGAAUCUACUUUAAUAAACCCUUGCUCACACCUUAGGCAACUUCUGAGCUGGGGAAAUGAUCUGGAGAAGUGGAAAAGAUAAGAAUGGCAAGGAUCCAAAAAGAGCAGUGAUCACUGCAUGAUGCUUAUUAGUGGAAGACCAAUUCCUCAGGAAUCAGCUAUAAAGCACAUUUUUUUUAUCACAAGGGAUUUUGAUGUCUAUUUUCUUAUACGAGUUUACAAGUCUGUGAAGAAGGUGACUGUCUUAGCUUUGCUGUAGCAUACAACUACACUAUAACAAAAUACCAGAAACCGGCAGCUUACAAACCAUGGACAUUUAUUUCUCACGGUUCUGGAGGCUGGGAAGUUCAAGAUCAAGGCACUAGCACAAUGGGUGUCUGGUGAAGACCCACUUCUGGUUCAAAGAAGGCAUCUUCUUGCUGUGCCUUCACAUGGCAGAAGAGACAAGGCAGGUCUCUGGCCUCACUUUAUAAAGUCACUAAUCCCAUUUAUGAGGGCUCCACCCUCAUGACCUAAUCACCUCCCAAAGGCCCCCUCUCCUAAUACCAUCAGAUCGGUUAUAUGAAUUUCAGAGGCAUACAACAUUCAAAUCAUAACAGUGUCCUCAUUUGCAUUUAAAGAUGAGGUGUCAGAGGUACUGCAAACUUAAGUGAGUCACCCAAGUGCAGGCAUGGGUGAGCCUAGGAUGCAAGGCCAAGUCUGUCUGACAGCAGAUAUGCUGCAGCGGUAUGCAUGUACCAAUUUCAUCUUAGUACACAGCCUGUGUGCACAAGAUAGACUGAACCCCUCUUCCGUCUCCUCUGACUUCACUCCUAUGCAGAGCUCCAGACCUGUCUAUCCAUCCUAAAAUGGUAGAAUUCAUGGUCCAUCAGGAAACAAUCCUCAGGGAGUGGCUCCUUAUGUGUCAGCUUCAAAGUGUCAGAGAAAGAAACUCACUCUUGUUUAGGAGCCUGCUAAAUAUGCAGAAUGUGGUGCAAAGAGCCCCAGGCUAGUGAUAUGGUUUGGCUGUGUCUCUACCCAAAUCUCAUCUUAAAUUGCAGCUCCCACGAUUCCCACAUGUUGUAGGAGAGAUCCAGUGGGAGAUAACUGAAUCAUAGGGGGCAGUUUCUCCCAUCUGU